rnacentral:rRNA from 1 species
ACUCCUACGGGAGGCAGCAGUGGGGAAUAUUGCACAAUGGGCGCAAGCCUGAUGCAGCCAUGCCGCGUGAGUGAUGAAGGCCUUAGGGUCGUAAAGCUCUUUCGCCUGUGAAGAUAAUGACGGUAGCAGGUAAAGAAACCCCGGCUAACUCCGUGCCAGCAGCCGCGGUAAUACGGAGGGGGUUAGCGUUGUUCGGAAUUACUGGGCGUAAAGCGCACGUAGGCGGAUCGGAAAGUUGGGGGUGAAAUCCCGGGGCUCAACCCCGGAACGGCCUCCAAAACUAUCGGUCUAGAGUUCGAGAGAGGUGAGUGGAAUUCCGAGUGUAGAGGUGAAAUUCGUAGAUAUUCGGAGGAACACCAGUGGCGAAGGCGGCUCACUGGCUCGAUACUGACGCUGAGGUGCGAAAGUGUGGGGAGCAAACAGGAUUAGAUACCCUGGUAGACUGUCA